rnacentral:rRNA from 1 species
UACGGAGGGUGCAAGCGUUAUCCGGAUUCACUGGGGUUUUAAAAGGGGUGCGUAGGUGGCUUUUGCAAGUCAGUGGUGAAAUCUUAGAGCUUAACUCUAAAAACUGCCAUUGAUACUGCUUAGCUUGAAUCAAGUAGAGGUGGAUGGAAUAUUACAUGUAGCGGUGAAAAUGCUUAGAUAUGUAAUAGAACACCAUUGCGAAGGCAGUUCACUAUGCUUGUAUUGACACUGAGGCACGAAAGCGUUGGGGGAUCAAACAGGG